rnacentral:tRNA from 1 species
GCCUCUGUAGCUCAGUUGGUUAGAGCGCUGCACCGGAAUCGCAGGGCCGUAGGUUCAAUUCCUACCAGAGGAA